CUAGCGACUUCAGAGUUUGAUCCUGGCUCAGGACAGACGCUGGCGGCGUGCCUAACACAUGCAAGUCGAACGGAGUUGAUCUUCGGAUUAACUUAGUGGCGAACGGGUGAGUAACGCGUGAGAAACCUGCCUUUCAGUGGGGGACAACAGUUGGAAACGACUGCUAAUACCGCAUAAUGUCAUUUGGGGGCAUCCCCGAAUGACCAAAGAUUUAUUGCUGAAAGAUGGUCUCGCGUCUGAUUAGCUAGAUGGCGGGGUAACGGCCCACCAUGGCGACGAUCAGUAGCCGGUCUGAGAGGAUGAACGGCCACAUUGGGACUGAGAUACGGCCCAG
rnacentral:rRNA from 1 species